rnacentral:misc_RNA from 1 species
AGCAUUCGUCUUCUGGUACGGGGCCAUAGCUCUCCUGGGAGAGCGCGUGCUUUGCAAGCAUGAGGUCGUCGGUUCGAUCCCGUCUGGCUCCACCAGAUGGUUUGAUCACCAACGGCGUUACCGUCGUCCGCGAAACAUCACUUCGCACUCAUUGGUCCGGAUGGACGGUGACGUGCGUGUUUUCUGACAUCGUAAAGAGGAGAUCGAUCCGAGUUUGGAUCAAGCGAAGCAGUUCGCCUGAACCAUUCAUUAUCUCCGGGAUCAUUUCGGCGCUCGUUUUCAAUCGUGAGAUUGGAUGCGGGUUGUAAAUGAUCCCUUUUAGCGAAGCUUGACCGCCUCGCUAUCGGGCCGAUCUUACGAAGCAAGCUGGUCUUUCUAGUCAAUGUCCGGCUGCGCAAUCGCAUUCAUCGAGGAUGCGUGCCUGGGACUUCGGUCUUCGGGCAGUUGCGCAGACAACAUUCUGCCGAGUGUGUGGACAUUGAUAAUGAGAGCAAUCAAGUGCCUUAAGGGUGUUCGGUGGAUGCCUUGGCGCUGAGAGGCGAUGAAGGACGUGCUACGCUGCGAUAAGCCGUGGGGAGCUGCGAAGAAGCUUUGAUCC